UACCAUGGAGUAAUACUCAGCCAUUAAAAGGAAUGAAAUAAAGUCUUUUGCAGCAACUUGGAUGGAACUAGAAACCAUGAUUCUAAAUGAUGUAUAUCUGGAAUAAAAAACAAAUACUGUAUGUUCUCACUUAUAAGUGGGAGCUAGAUGAAAGCAGCAACAAAUGUGAAAGACGAAAGUGAACUUUUGUUUUACAUUUAAAAAAAUGAAUCCAAUGCCACCCCUGGUUUGACAGGAGGCAGAGCCCACGCAAUGAUGCCAAUGAUGAUACCCAGAAGUGGGAUUGCUGGAUCAACUGAUUGGAAUCCUGAGUAAAUGUCAUUUACCCUUUCUUUCCGGCUUCAAAUGUUCUUCAAAUGCAGUUGACGAAGAGUUCCUGGUCUGGACAUGUGAAAGACUUCCUUUAAGAAUGACAUGCUGCACUACAGGUGUCAGGAGCUGACAACUGUUCCAUCGAAGCCAGUUCUGAAGUGAUGGGUUUUCUGAGCUCCGCUCAUGGACUUACUCGAGGCAUCCACAAAGCCACUCCAACACCCCAAGGCCUGGACAGCCCAGGCAGCAGUUGGGAGAGAAUAAAUAGCUCUUGAUCUCUUUUGGUUUCCAGACAGUAAAUUCAUUCGUGCUUAUGCUGACUGACGGAUGGAUGGCUUGCUAUUGGCUCAGGAUGUUCAGGGGCAGGAGGAGACCCUGAGCAGACACACCUCUCUCACACAGAAA